rnacentral:lncRNA from 1 species
UUCUAACUGAAGGUAAUGGAAAAACAUUUGGCUGUGCUGCAGUUGAUCUUAGGAGUUCAUUUUUGGACAUAAAAGGGUGUGCAAAUCCAUUUUGUUUCUGGAAGAUCUGAAGCAAAGGCUUCCAAAGUGUUUCUCCUUGCAAUGUACAGUACAGCUGUGAAAUGGUACAGUUGGAUAGUGCUGCCACCAGAAAGUGAAGAUCAUGGGGAGUUUGUGUGAGAAACAAGACUGACUUAUGUCUGAGGUAAGUGUAGAGUACAUGGAGUUUAAUAAUUACUGGAAUAUUGUCUUUGUGCUAAAUGCCUAGAUAGUGGUGCCUAGAAUUAGUCUUAUAAUAGAUCUGAUUUGUUUUCCCUUUAUUGUAUUCUUAUUUUCCCAUAUUUGGCUACUAUGGGAAUAAACACGAUGUGCUUGAAGUUGAAGCA